rnacentral:rRNA from 1 species
CGUCUAUAUACGUAUAGCAUAUCAAUAAGCGGAGGAAAAGAAACUAACAAGGAUUCCCUCAGUAACGGCGAGUGAAGCGGGAAGAGCUCAAAUUUGAAAUCUUCAAGGUUUUACCUUGACGAAUUGUAGUUUAAAGAAGUGUUUUCUGUAGUGGAGUUUGGUAAAAGUUCUUUGGAAAAGGACAUCAUAGAGGGUGAGAAUCCCGUAUUUGACCAUUAUCUUCCAGCUUUGUGAUACACUUUCAAAGAGUCGGAUUGUUUGGGAAUGCAGUCCAAAAUGGGUGGUAAAUUUCAUCUAAAGCUAAAUAUUGGCGAGAGACCGAUAGCGAACAAGUACCGUGAGGGAAAGAUGAAAAGAACUUUGAAAAGAGAGUUAAACAGUACGUGAAAUUGUCAAAAGGGAAGCGUUUGACACCAGUGUUGUUUUCUCCGAAAAUCAAUUAUCGAUGUUUUGUUUUGAGGAGUGAUGACUUCAUCGGCUUGCUCCUUUCUUUACGAAACUUUCUGUAAUGCACCUUUCGGUUAACAAGUCAACAUCAAUUUCUUUUGUUGUAAAAGAGUAUUAGGAAGGUGGCUUUCUUUUCGGAGAAAGUGUUUAUAGCCCUAUACUUCUACAAUCGGAGAGAUUGAGGUCUGCAGCGUAGAUCCUUCGGGGUUAGAUACAUUUGUGCUAAGUUAUAGCUUUUCAUAGACAACUUGUUGACUAUGUUUAGUCAUGUCGCUUACUCGCUUAUGCUAUUUUACCUACGCUUAGGAUGUUGACUGAUAUGUAGUCGU